rnacentral:lncRNA from 1 species
CAGUGUUUCAAAGGAAAAUGAAGCCCCUUUGGAAAUGUGAAGCUCCGAGAUAAUGACCGGAUCGCUCCAGGACUGGAUGGGAACAGCUCCGCUGGGAAGGUGCCGGAGGGCCACACCUUUGGAGCCAUCCUUUGGGAACGAGCUGCGGAUUGAUGCUCCCGGAUGGUUUUGGUUUCCGGUUCUUCCUGGAGAAAAUCCACUCCAGCUCGGGAAUAAUCCGCACCCAAACAGGGAUCCCGGGAAGUGAUGGAUGGGGAAGGAAUGGAGAAAGCCUUGUCAAGCCGAGCGUGGUGGCGGUGGAGGAACUUCCCGGCACCGGGCGUUUUUCCCUGCACCAUCCCCUCCGCCCCAGCCCGUGACGCCGGCUGAAAGGAACAUUCCGGCCCUCGCCUUUCACCCCGCAGCCCAUCAAUAAAAGCUGGAAGAGCUGGAGGAGUGGGAAUACU